GAUUGAACGCUGGCGGCAGGCCUAACACAUGCAAGUCGAGCGGGGUUUUCGGAACCUAGCGGCGGACGGGUGAGUAAUGCGUAGGAAGCUACCCGAUAGAGGGGGAAUACCAGUUGGAAACGACUGUUAAUACCGCAUAAUGUCUACGGACCAAAGUGUGGGACCUUCGGGCCACAUGCUAUCGGAUGCGCCUACGUGGGAUUAGCUAGUUGGUGAGGUAAUGGCUCACCAAGGCGACGAAUCUCUAGCUGGUUUGAGAGGAUGAUCAGCCACACUGGAACUGAGACACGGUCCAGACUCCUACGGGAGGCAGCAGUGGGGAAUAUUGGACAAUGGGCGCAAGCCUGAUCCAGCCAUGCCGCGUGUGUGAAGAAGGCCUUCGGGUUGUAAAGCACUUUCAGCGAGGAGGAAGGGGUAGGUGUUAAUAGCAUCUACUUUUGACGUUACUCGCAGAAGAAGCACCGGCUAACUCUGUGCCAGCAGCCGCGGUAAUACAGAGGGUGCAAGCGUUAAUCGGAAUUACUGGGCGUAAAGCGCACGCAGGCGGUUGGUUAAGUC
rnacentral:rRNA from 1 species